rnacentral:rRNA from 1 species
ACGGGAGGCAGCAGUGGGGGAUAUUGCACAAUGGGGGAAACCCUGAUGCAGCAACGCCGCGUGAGGGAAGAAGGUUUUCGGAUUGUAAACCUCUGUUUUCGGUGACGAAACAAAUGACGGUAGCCGAAGAGGAAGCCACGGCUAACUACGUGCCAGCAGCCGCGGUAAUACGUAGGUGGCAAGCGUUGUCCGGAUUUACUGGGUGUAAAGGGUGCGUAGGCGGGACUGCAAGUUGGAUGUGAAAUACCGGGGCUCAACCCCGGAGCUGCAUCCAAAACUGUGGUUCUUGAGCGGAGUAGAGGUAAGCGGAAUUCCGAGUGUAGCGGUGAAAUGCGUAGAUAUUCGGAGGAACACCAGUGGCGAAGGCGGCUUACUGGGCUCUAACUGACGCUGAGGCACGAAAGCAUGGGGAGCAAACAGGAUUAGAUACCCUGGUA